rnacentral:rRNA from 1 species
GAUGAACGCUGGCGGCGUGCCUAAUACAUGCAAGUCGAGCGAACAGACGAGGAGCUUGCUCCUCUGACGUUAGCGGCGGGCAGGUGAGUAACACGUGGAUAACCUACCUAUAAGACUGGGAUAACUUCGGGAAACCGGAGCUAAUACCGGAUAAUAUAUUGAACCGCAUGGUUCAAUAGUGAAAGACGGUUUUGCUGUCACUUAUAGAUGGAUCCGCGCCGCAUUAGCUAGUUGGUAAGGUAACGGCUUACCAAGGCAACGAUGCGUAGCCGACCUGAGAGGGUGAUCGGCCACACUGGAACUGAGACACGGUCCAGACUCCUACGGGAGGCAGCAGUAGGGAAUCUUCCGCAAUGGGCGAAAGCCUGACGGAGCAACGCCGCGUGAGUGAUGAAGGUCUUCGGAUCGUAAAACUCUGUUAUUAGGGAAGAACAAAUGUGUAAGUAACUAUGCACGUCUUGACGGUACCUAAUCAGAAAGCCACGGCUAACUACGUG